GCACCAUAAACUAAAAGAUCAUGACAAUUUCAAGGGCCACACACGAGCGAGAAGAGAAUCUGGAGUCAAUGAACACUGAGGAUAAAGGAAAGCAAGGAUUUGCUGGUUAGCAACUUCUGAACCAUCAGAUGAUGACAAGGACCAUACUGACAUAAUCCUGGAGAGGCCACACCAAGGUGCAUAUCAACACCACAGCACUCAAGUCACUCUUUGUCUCUGGGACUCUACCUGGCCACCACACGUCAGUCAACUACUCUUCCAGCAGCAAAGACCCCACAGAAUUCUCCAAACCAUGCCUUCCCAGAGAAUCCUGAACUGAAUUUAUAGGU